rnacentral:rRNA from 1 species
CCUACGGGUGGCAGCAGUGGGGAAUAUUGCGCAAUGGGCGAAAGCCUGACGCAGCGACGCCGCGUGAGGGAUGAAGGUCUUCUGAUCGUAAAACUCUGUCAGCAGGGAAGAACGGUCCCUGUGCUAAUCAGCAUUGAAUUGACGGUACCUGCAAAGGAAGCACCGGCUAACGCCGUGCCAGCAGCCGCGGUAAUACGGAGGGUGCGAGCGUUAAUCGGAAUGACUGGGCGUAAAGCGCUCGUAGGCGGUAUGUCAAGUCAAGGGUGAAAUCCCCGGGCUCAACGUGGGAAUUGCCUUUGAAACUGGGAAACUGGAGUGUGUUAGAGGAUAGUGGAAUUCGAGGUGUAGGAGUGAAAUCCGUAGAUAUCUGGAGGAACA